rnacentral:tRNA from 1 species
GCCCAGGUGGCGGAAUUGGUAGACGCGCCAGCUUCAGGUGCUGGUAUUGGAAACGAUGUGAAGGUUCGAGUCCUUUCCUGGGCACCA